rnacentral:rRNA from 1 species
AUGAACGCUGGCGGCGUGCCUAUUACAUGCAAGUCGAGCGCACAGACGAGGAGCUUGCUCCUCUGACGUUAGCGGCGGACGGGUGAGUAACACGUGGAUAACCUACCUAUAAGACUGGGAUAACUUCGGGAAACCGGAGCUAAUACCGGAUAAUAUAUUGAACCGCAUGGUUCAAUAGUGAAAGACGGUUUUGCUGUCACUUAUAGAUGGAUCCGCGCCGCAUUAGCUAGUUGGUAAGGUAACGGCUUACCAAGGCAACGAUGCGUAGCCGACCUGAGAGGGUGAUCGGCCACACUGGAACUGAGACACGGUCCAGACUCCUACGGGAGGCAGCAGUAGGGAAUCUUCCGCAAUGGGCGAAAGCCUGACGGAGCAACGCCGCGUGAGUGAUGAAGGUCUUCGGAUCGUAAAACUCUGUUAUUAGGGAAGAACAAAUGUGUAAGUAACUAUGCACGUCUUGACGGUACCUAAUCAGAAAGCCACGGCUAACUACGUG